rnacentral:rRNA from 1 species
UACGGGGGGGCAAGCGUUGUCCGGAAUCAUUGGGCGUAAAGGGCGCGUAGGUGGCCCGGUCAGUUCGUGGUGAAAGCGCGGGGCUCAACCCUGCGUCGGCCAUGAAUACUGCCGCGGCUGGAGCACUGUAGAGGCAGGCGGAAUUCCGGGUGUAGCGGUGGAAUGCGUAGAGAUCCGGAAGAACACCGGUGGCGAAGGCGGCCUGCUGGGCAGUUGCUGACACUGAGGCGCGACAGCGUGGGGAGCAAACAGGG